GAUCCUGCCAGUAGUCAUAUGCUUGUCUCAAAGAUUAAGCCAUGCAUGUCUAAGUAUAAACUGAUUUUAUACGGUGAAACUGCGAAUGGCUCAUUAAAUCAGUUAUAGUUUAUCCGAUUGUGCCGUUGUGAAUCGGAUUACCGUCCGGUUCGCUCCUACUUGGAUAACCGUGGUAAUUCUAGGGCUAAUACAUGCAAAAAAGGCCGACUGGAGGGGGAAAGGGUAAGGGGGUAUGGGCUUGCUCGUGCCUACCGCCCCUCCCAUUCUUCGGAAGGCCUGCAUUUAUUGGAACUAAAAACCAAUGCGGGGCCCCGUGCAGUUCGGCGUCAAAAACCGGACGGCGGGGACAAAACCCCGGCUAUACGCAUCGGUGAUUCACAAUAACUGCGCGAAUCGCAUGGCCUUCUUAGCGCCGGCGAUGGAUCGGACGAAUUUCUGCCCUAUCAACUAGACGGUAGGGUAGUGGCCUACCAUGGUUAUAACGGGUAACGGAGAAUUAGGGUUCGAUUCCGGAGAGGGAGCCUGAGAAACGGCUACCACUUCCAAGGAAGGCAGCAGGCGCGUAAAUUACCCAAUCCCGACACGGGGAGGUAGUGACAAGAAAUAACAAUGCAGGCCCUGAACAAGGGCUUGCAAUUGGAAUGAGUGCAAUUUAAAUCCUUCAACAAGGAACAAUUGGAGGGCAAGUCUGGUGCCAGCAGCCGCGGUAAUUCCAGCUCCAAUAGCGUAUAUUAAAGUUGUUGCAGUUAAAAAGCUCGUAGUGGGCUCUUUACUGAGCCCGUGGUAUUCUCCCUCCGGGUUGACGCUUGUGCGUUGUUCUUCGGAACAAUGUACAACUCUCCCGGGCAUGGGGUUUCGUUCUGCCCUCCUCCCCGCCCGCAGCCUCCCUGUCCUCUUCGGGGGACUUGGGGUGUGCUGCGGGAUCGGGGGGCGGAGGGACCAGAGCGGAGUUCCGGUCCGUUUACCUUGAAUAAAUUAGAGUGUUCAAAGCAGGCUUUUUUCGAAAGGCCAUGAAUACAUUAGCAUGGGAUAAUGGAAUAGGACUUUGGUCACUAUUUUGUUGGUUUUUUCUGUCUUAAGGACCGAAGUAAUGAUUAAUAGGGACAGUCGGGGGCAUUUGUAUUUAGUUGUCAGAGGUGAAAUUCUUGGAUCAACUAAAGACAAACUUCAGCGAAAGCAUUUGUCAAGGAUGUUUUCAUUAAUCAAGAACGAAAGUUAGGGGAUCGAAGAUGAUCAGAUACCGUCGUAGUCC
rnacentral:rRNA from 1 species